CGAAAGCCUGACGGAGCAAUACCGCGUGAGGGAGGAAGGCUCUUGGGUUGUAAACCUCUUUUCUCAAGGAAUAAGAAAGUGAAGGUACUUGAGGAAUAAGCAUCGGCUAACUCCGUGCCAGCAGCCGCGGUAAUACGGAGGAUGCAAGCGUUAUCCGGAAUGAUUGGGCGUAAAGCGUCCGCAGGUGGCAUUGAAAGUCUGCUGUUAAAGAGUCUGGCUCAACCAGAUAAAGGCAGUGGAAACUACAAAGCUAGAGCGCGUUCGGGGUAGAGGGAAUUCCUGGUGUAGCGGUGAAAUGCGUAGAGAUCAGGAAGAACACCGGUGGCGAAGGCGCUCUACUAGGCCGCAACUGACACUGAGGGACGAAAGCUAGGGGAGCGAAUGGGAUUAGAUACCCCAGUAGUCCUAGCCGUAAACGAUGGAUACUAGGCGUUGCUUGUAUCGACCCGAGCAGUGCCGUAGCUAACGCGUUAAGUAUCCCGCCUGGGGAGUACGCACGCAAGUGUGAAACUCAAAGGAAUUGACGGGGGCCCGCACAAGCGGUGGAGUAUGUGGUUUAAUUCGAUGCAACGCGAAGAACCUUACCAGGGCUUGACAUGUCGCGAAUCCCGGUGAAAGCUGGGAGUGCCUUAGGGAGCGCGAACACAGGUGGUGCAUGGCUGUCGUCAGCUCGUGUCGUGAGAUGUUGGGUUAAGUCCCGCGACGAGCGCAACCCUCGUUGUUAGUUGCCAGCACUUAGGGUGGGCACUCUAACAAGACUGCCGGUGACAAACCGGAGGAAGGUGGGGAUGACGUCAAGUCAGCAUGCCCCUUACGUCCUGGGCUACACACGUACUACAAUGCGACGGACAGAGGGCAGCGAGCAUGCGAAUGCAAGCAAAUCCCGAAAACCGGCGCUCAGUUCAGAUCGAAGGCUGCAACUCGCCUUCGUGAAGGUGGAAUCGCUAGUAAUUGCAGGUCAGCAUACUGCAGUGAAUUCGUUCCCGGGCCUUGUACACACCGCCCGUCACACCAUGGAAGCUGGUAGUGCCCGAAGUCGUUACCCCAACCUUUCGGGGAGGGGGAUGCCUAAGGCAGGACUGGUGACUGGGGUGAA
rnacentral:rRNA from 1 species